GAAAUGCGAUAAGUAAUGUGAAUUGCAGAAUUCAGUGAAUCAUCGAAUCUUUGAACGCACCUUGCGCCCUUCUUCGGAAGGGCACGCCUGUUUGAGUGUCAUGUUCAUCUCAAUCCCAACAGCUUUGUCGCUGGUACGGGUUGGAUUUGGGAGUCUGCUGGCCCUCUUUGGGUCGGCUCUCCUUGAAUGCAUGAGUGAGCAUCUGGCUCGCGUUGCUAAUGUGAUAGUCUUUCAUCAUUGGCGGCGCUUGUCUAACGGGCUUGCUUCCGAACAGUCUUCUCAUCGGAGACAAUCAUUGACAUAUUUGACCUCAAAUCAGGUGGGACUACCCGCUGAACUUAA
rnacentral:rRNA from 1 species